rnacentral:sRNA from 1 species
ACACGAGAGAGGAGGUGGUCUGCAGUUGAAGAACUUGAGGACACGUGAGGUGACCAUCCGCUAGCGCGGUUUCCACGAGGCAUUCACUGCCGCGUUCGCGACCCGAUCCGGGGCGCGGCCGUGCCGGCGAAUACCAGGUGGUCACCGGACCCCCGCACCCCGACUCGUCCAGUCGGCGUAGGCCCCGUCAACCGGGGUGGUGCGGGGGUCACUCAUU